GAUGAACGCUGGCGGCGUGCUUAACACAUGCAAGUCGAACGGAAAGGCCCCUGCUUGCAGGGGUACUCGAGUGGCGAACGGGUGAGUAACACGUGGGUGAUCUGCCCUGCACUUCGGGAUAAGCCUGGGAAACUGGGUCUAAUACCGGAUAGGACCACCUUCUGCAUGGUGUGGUGGAAAGUUUUUCGGUGUGGGAUGAGCUCGCGGCCUAUCAGCUUGUUGGUGGGGUAAUGGCCUACCAAGGCGUCGACGGGUAGCCGGCCUGAGAGGGUGUACGGCCACAGUGGGACUGAGAUACGGCCCAGACUCCUACGGGAGGCAGCAGUGGGGAAUAUUGCACAAUGGGCGGAAGCCUGAUGCAGCGACGCCGCGUGGGGGAUGACGGCCUUCGGGUUGUAAACUCCUUUCGCUAGGGACGAAGCGCAAGUGACGGUAACUGGUAAAGAAGCACCGGCUAACUACGUG
rnacentral:rRNA from 1 species